GCCCCUGUAGCAUGAAGGUCGUGCAGUUGCCUUGUAAGCAUCAGGCCCUGGUUCGAUUCCGGGCAGGGGCACCA
rnacentral:tRNA from 1 species